rnacentral:rRNA from 1 species
CGGACGGGUGAGUAACGCGUGGAUAACCUGCCUCACACUGGGGGAUAACAGUUAGAAAUGGCUGCUAAUACCGCAUAAGCGCGCAGUACCGCAUGGUACGGUGUGAAAAACCCAGGUGGUGUGAGAUGGAUCCGCGUCUGAUUAGCCAGUUGGCGGGGUAACGGCCCACCAAAGCGACGAUCAGUAGCCGACCUGAGAGGGUGACCGGCCACAUUGGGACUGAGACACGGCCCAA